GGCUGCGGGGGGCGCUGUGCGCGGGCAGCUCGCGCCGCUGUGGGCGGGAAGGGGCUGCGAGGGGCGAGCGGCGCUCUGGGGCGUCCGUGUGGAAGCUGCGACUUCAGCGUUCCCGUGUCGCUUCGAAACCCGACGUUGCGGUGCCUGUGCGCCCGCCUCUCCGCAGUAUGCAACAAUCCCUGUGCUAUUCAAUACACAGUGAACAUCUGAGCUAAUAAGGAUGAAACUUAACAAGGACAGAAGAUAAAAUGGCUUGUUCAGAUUGUUAUGCUCCUGUGAAUUCAAGCUGAUAUUAUGACAUCCAGUUCAGUAAAAAGACCUUUCAGAUGAGUUGAAGAAAGUUCACUGAAGAAGAGAUGAUGAAUGUUUUGCAUCAUGCCUCAAAAAAUAGUGAGUUGUAAACCAUAAGAAUAAAUAACAAUGAUGAAAGACAGUAUCAAAUCUUAGAAAAUAGUAAUUGGCUAGAGUGAAGCAUAAGGAGACAGAAAAGAUGAUUUUAAUACAGAACUAUGAAAGAUGAACCUUAUUUGAUGUUAAAAUGUGCAUUAUUAUUGUGUCGGCCAAGUAUUUGUAUUCUGACAUAACAUACCUCAUAACACUAAGUUUUGUAUGUUUGUUUUUUACAGUGAAGGCAAUAGUACUUCAAUAAUCUUGACUAUCAAGUGUUCAACAUCUGUUGAACAUCUGCUUUCUAAACCUUCUCUUCAUUUUGGUAAUUAAGCUAAUAAUACUACCAAAAACCUCUUACUAUCUUUUAUCAGAAAUUAAUCUGUCUUAAAAUAGGCUUGAAGAAAAGAUUGCUUUCUUUUGAAGCAGGUUGUUUUUUAAUUUUCAAACUAUAUUUUAAAUUCACAGCUUCUGCAAUUCAGCUCUGCAAAAAUAACUUUGAUUCCUGAGUUCCCCUUUUAGGCCUUUCUCUGUGAAUACUGUCAUUUGCUAAUUGAAAUUUAACAGAAAACAGGUGGUUUUCAGGGUCUCUGGAGAUGAUUAAAAGAUUUGAAAUAGAAUUAAGACAUCUACAUGCAGCUAAUCUGCAGAACCAUCAAACCAAGUACAUUUCGUUCCCUUUCUUCCUUUUCCUUCCUUGUACCCGUGUAACUGGUGUUAGCCCAGAAGUUGCUACCUAGCACCCAAUAGCUGAAUUUGUCCCACAGUGUUUUGCCUGGCCUUUAUGACUGCCCUGAUCAAAACUUGGCACAUUUCAUGGAUUGGGCAUCCAGCUGUAUUACACAUUUUUCUUGUACCUGACAUAACUCAGCCCUGCAAUGCUGCAUAACAAAUCUCACUGCAGAAUCAUUCAAUGGAGACAACUGGAGAAAGAUAGUCUCAAACAUGCACAACUUUGCCAGUUGAUAUUUGGAUCACACAUCCUUCUAGUCAGUAACUGUCUUAGUUAUGUAUGUGAACAAUUGUCAGCAUAAUUAGACCCCAGCUUAUUUAAACCUAAAUAGUAUUGUAAAGACAUAG